CUUCUUUCAAUCGAUGACCUGCAAUAUUGCUAUCGUGGUGGACUCUCUGCAAAGGGCUCGAGGGCCCUAUCAGACUGAAGGAAAUUAGUAACCCAUCUUUCUUCAUUGCAAUGUGUGUGUUCAGUCUUAGGUUCUUGGAGAAUGCUGAGAAGAAUGUACAGAUAUUUCUCAUAUAGCCCUGCAUUCCCCACUAUUAACAUCCCUACCAGAAAGGUCCACUCGUCACAUCUGCUGGACCUACGCUGAUACAAGGUGAUCACCCGAAGCCCAGAGUUGACCUGGAGGACCAUACAUCCUGUGGGUUUAGACGAACGUACGAUGGCAUGUUUUUACCCUUGAGUUUCAUUGAAUACACCUGAUGGACAGCAACACUGUAUGAGUCUAAGGUAUAUAGCACGAUGACUUACAUUUUUGUGAAACAAUGACCAGAGUCAAUUUCGUUAAUAUCCAUCACCUCAUAUGGACUGAAAAAUAAGACAUUUAAUCCUUGUGAUGAGAAAUCUUUGGAUCUGUUGGCCACAGUCAUCAUGCUCUAC